rnacentral:rRNA from 1 species
GUGGGGAAUAUUGGACAAUGGGGGAAACCCUGAUCCAGCAAUGCCGCGUGAGUGAAGAAGGCCUUAGGGUUGUAAAGCUCUUUCGCCCGCGAAGAUAAUGACGGUAGCGGGAGAAGAAGCCCCGGCUAACUCCGUGCCAGCAGCCGCGGUAAUACGGAGGGGGCUAGCGUUGUUCGGAAUUACUGGGCGUAAAGCGUACGUAGGCGGAUGCGCAAGUUGGGGGUGAAAUCCCGGGGCUUAACCUCGGAAUUGCCCUCAAAACUGCACGGCUUGAGACCGAGAGAGGUAAGGGGAAUUCCUAGCGUAGAGGUGAAAUUCGUAGAUAUUAGGAAGAACACCAGUGGCGAAGGCGCCUUACUGGCUCGGUACUGACGCUGAGGUACGAAAGCGUGGGGAGCAAACA